GUCACUUAUUUAUUAGACAAAAAUGAACAUUUUAUGUGCACAAAGAUAGUAUCAUAAGAGGUGUGGCGUUUUGCCAUUGGAACCUGGGCAUACGGUCAUUUGUCCUGCAGUUUCUCGUGUACUGAAAGGUGGCGUGGAUCCUACAGUUUCUCGUGUACUGAAAAGCGGUGUGGAUCCUACAGCUUCUCUACUGAAAGGCGGCGUGGAUCCUACAGCUUCUCGUGUACGGAAAGGCGGUGUGGAUCCUACAGCUUCUCUACUGAAAGGUGGCGUGGAUCCUACAGUUUCUCAUGUACGGAAAGGCGGCGUGGAUCCUCAGCUUCUCGUGUACCGAAAGGCGGCGUGGAGCAGCACAAGGAGCUUGAGCGUUGCAAUGAGAAGUCAUGGCUGUGAAUCCCACCCCAUCACGUUUUGAAUGUUGGGCAAAUUAAUUAAUCGUUUUAUCCACUUACUAGGCGAUGUAUAGUUUGUAUACUUCAUGCCAGUCAUUGUUUUAGACUCUUAAGAUGCAAAGAUAAAUAAGAAAGUUGCUUUGGGCAAAGAGUGAGACCUUUUUCUUAAAAAAACAAAACAAAAGAAUUACCAUGUGAUGAGCACUUCUCCUUCUGGGUGCAUACCCAGUGCUCUGAGCUACAGCGUCUAACGUUCAAGCCAGCUUCUCAAUCGGACCCCAGGAUCCUUUCUAGAGAGAAAUCCUGUCCACGUCGCCCUCCUAGCUGGCACGGCUGCAGGCACCAGUGUCGUGGCAGCGGGAAGGGGAGGACGGGCUUGGUGAAAGGGGACUGGGGCCUCCUCACUCCUGGGGCUGCCAGCUCCCUCACCCUGAAAUCAGACCCACGCCCGCCCUGCACUUCCUGAGUGUUUCCUGAGACCAAGGGAUCAGAGCUUCGGCUGUGAGGGGCGGUGCUGUGCCCUGGGACACACGGAGCCACAGCCUCCGCUUCCAGGGUGCCCUGGGGCCUCUCUCCACGUCUCCCUAGGGGCAACCGCCACAACUACUCUGUGUCGUGUGUCCUGCGCCGUCCAUCCGACCCCUCGCAACUCAUCCCAAGCCUGGGGGGCUCUGGGGGACAGGGCAGGUGGGGCCAUGUGACCAGGAGAACCUGCUGGUGUCUCCGGCCUCCACUGGGUGCCCCAGGACUGUGGUCAGCAGGGUGGAGCCCCUGAUGCAGCUUCACUGCCUGCUGCAGCCAGAGGGGGAUGGGGUCC
rnacentral:lncRNA from 10 species